rnacentral:rRNA from 1 species
UACGUAGGGGGCGAGCGUUGUCCGGAAUCAUUGGGCGUAAAGCGCGUGUAGGCGGCCCGGUAAGUCCGCUGUGAAAGUCCAGGGCUCAACCCUGGGAUGCCGGUGGAUACUGUCGGGCUCGAGUCCGGAAGAGGCGAGUGGAAUUCCUGGUGUAGCGGUGAAAUGCGCAGAUAUCAGGAGGAACACCAAUGGCGAAGGCAGCUCGCUGGGACGUGACUGACGCUGAGACGCGAAAGCCAGGGGAGCAAACAGG